GGGCCAGACUCCUACGGGAGGCAGCAGUGGGGGAUAUUGCACAAUGGAGGAAACUCUGAUGCAGCGACGCCGCGUGAGGGAAGACGGUCCUCGGAUUGUAAACCUCUGUCUUUGGGGAAGAAAAUGACGGUACCCAAAGAGGAAGCUCCGGCUAACUACGUGCCAGCAGCCGCGGUAAUACGGAGGAUGCGAGCGUUAUCCGGAUUUAUUGGGUUUAAAGGGUGCGUAGGCGGUCCGUUAAGUCAGCGGUAAAAUGGCGGGGCUCAACCCCGUCGAGCCGUUGAAACUGGCAGACUUGAGUUGGCGAGAAGUACGCGGAAUGCGCGGUGUAGCGGUGAAAUGCAUAGAUAUCGCGCAGAACUCCGAUUGCGAAGGCAGCGUACCGGCGCCAGACUGACGCUGAGGCACGAAAGCGUGGGGAUCGAACAGGAUUAGAUACCCGCGUAC
rnacentral:rRNA from 1 species